rnacentral:lncRNA from 1 species
GAGCUGCAGCCAUCAGGCUUAGCCAUUCUCAUCUUUGUUCUUCUUCCCAGAACAAGGAAAGUCUUCUCACGCUGCUGUGUCUCCUCCUAGACAUCUCUCUUGUCCCUAGGCAUUUCCUGCUUUGGCUACAUCACCUACUUCUAUCACUCAAGGGGAAAUACCAUAGGAGAGAGGAGCAGGCCCUGAUGUGGCAGAAAACAAAAUUUUGUGAAGAAGUAAAGCAGCAAGAUCUCCCUUGCAAGAACAGAUCACUUGCCAAUAAACUGAGCUAAGAUGUUCAGUUCUGUUGCUGGUUGUGCUAUUGCAGCAAAUGUUUGUAACCCAGCAUCAAACACCUUACCUACUUUGGACAGAAAUGGGGGAAACAGGGCCUGUAAUCCUGACUCAGCACAGACACUGAACCACUGGGAGCCAGAGAGCAGAGCUGAGCUUCCUCCCACUGAGGGGAAAACCUGUGCAAAGGCUGCCUGCAGAGAGGAAAAUGCUGGCAGAUUCUUCUCUCUUAGUUCCCUGUAAGUUCUUCCAGCAGGGGAGAGGGUCUCUUUUCCUCAGACCUGAGGGGCAGCAAGUAGGGACAGAAGGAGAAGCUAACUGGGAGCCGGUUCUUGGUCUCUAAUGCUCACCCCAAGCUCUGUAGCAUUAUGAUCUCAAGGCAGCUAAUAAGAGGAUAGUUUGGCUUCCAGAAAUAUGAAAGACAUUUAAUUUGAGUUGUCUUUGUCAAUGACCUGCAUUUCUUGGUUAUCUGUCCAGUCAGAGCAAAAAUAGUGUAGCUUUUCCCAAAGGUGGAACCACCGGAAUGAAAGGAAAGAGAAGGAAAUAAUCCACCUUCUUAGAGCAGAAGGAAUUAUUUGGCAAAAAAGACAUUAUACAAGAAGAAUCUACAAGCUUUGGAGGACAUCAAGCAUCAUUUUAAGGCUUACAUGAGCUGAAGGGAGCCAUCCUGGAAACAACUCAAAGAAAUUUGAAUCUCUAUCAUCUAAAAACUCAGGAAUGCAUCUUAAAUUCAUUCCAUAUCCUGGAGCUGAUAGUCAGAUUCAUUACCGCAAAUGUGAAACAAAGCUUUUAACAAAGCUUUUGAUCAGUGUUUAGUGCUCAGCUUUGUUUGUUUUCCAAAGAGCAUGAAGCUUUUACAAGCUAUAUAUAAGUUUCUGUUUU